UACAGAGGGGGCAAGCGUUGUUCGGAAUUACUGGGCGUAAAGGCGCGUAGGCGGCCUGUUAAGUCGAACGUGAAAUCCCCGGGCUCAACCCGGGAACUGCGUCCGAUACUGGCAGGCUUGAAUCCGGGAGAGGGAUGUGGAAUUCCAGGUGUAGCGGUGAAAUGCGUAGAUAUCUGGAGGAACACCGGUGGCGAAGGCGACAUCCUGGACCGGUAUUGACGCUGAGGCGCGAAAGCCAGGGGAGCCAAAGCGGGAU
rnacentral:rRNA from 1 species